AAUCUCUGUAGUUGGCAGCUGUACAGGGUUGCUGGUACCUUAUAGAACACCAGGAAAAGCAUCCUUUCCCUGGAGGAAAAUGAGGCUUGGCUGCCCAAGCCCCGCCCAGUCACAUGCAAUUAUCCUCACAGUUCCUAUGCAUUUUGGCCACAGUGACCAGGCAAGGUUAUUAUCUGUCUAGAACAGGAAGAGGAACUCUGCAGUUAGGAUAUUGUCAAGCAGAUGGAGUAGUGUCUGGUGGAAACUAUGUACUGCUACAAAG